AUAGUGUAAAGUUCAGGAAAAUCAUCUGCUCCAUGAAAGAAACAAAGUGAUGGUAGCUGUCUGCAAGUAUUAGAUUCAAUGGGAGACAUGAUUCAACAAGCCAUAACUGUAACAUCCAUGAUCUGGAUUAAGUCAAAGUUAGUGAGUUUGUCGUAAUCAAACAAGAACAUGCACGACGAACUAAAGAACUUCAACCAGAUCAAAGAUGCUACUACAUGUGCCCAAACGUUCGACCCGAUGUUCCCAUAUCAAAUCCGAAAUCCAAAGUCAAAUUUCCGAGAACAGUUUUCCUAGCCGUUCCAAGUUGAGACUUUGCAACAAAGUUUGAAACCGUUAGUUGGUUUGUCCCGGACUAGAACUAAUAUUAUAUGGAACCCAUACAUUUUCACAAAAACUUUAUUAUUUAUAUAAUACUCAGGUUCAAAUAACAUCAAACAUAUAAAAGGUGCACCACUUUCAAAUGUAUUACAUAUUACAAUACAUACUUCUUUGCAAAAUGCACAAACACUAGGCCAAGAACACUGCUCAUUCGCAACCCGAGAUACCUCUAUGAUUCCCUGCAGCACAAAGAGUCUAAUGAGCAAAUAAUUUUCUCAGUGAGACAAGGUUCCCUAACAAUUAAAUCAUCCACCCAAUAUGCAUCAAUCAUUAAAAAAUAAAAAUCAAUUAUUUCAUGUAACAUGCAAUGCGAAAAUAAAGCAAUCCAUUUACCCACACAUCCAUCUUUCACAAGUGGUUAGAUGAUCACCGAUAGUCCAGGCUUGAUUCUCGUCAUUUGUUCCAAUCUCCUCCGAUGAUGACGAUUGAGGCCUUUGUUUCUCCAAGCUCAGCAUCUCAUCCAACAAACGGUUGAUCUUGUGUUUGAUCUUGUGUGAUGAUUUGGAGAGAUUUCUCAAAACAUCUGAACAUUGACAAAGAAAUUUCUCAGACCAAAAAAACAAGACAUUGACGGAGAAG
rnacentral:lncRNA from 1 species